rnacentral:lncRNA from 1 species
CUUUGGGCAAAAGUAGUACGACUUUUCAAAUCAUGAGAGGGCUCGAGAUGUCCGACUGUAGAACAUUGGGGAGUUAUAUCGAAACUACAAGGUCAAUCUCCAUAAAGGAUGAUUAGAGCAUCGUAAGGACAUUGAGGAGGAGCUUGUUCCUUGAAUCCAAGACUGUUCUUCGAGUCAGUGGAAGGGGAUGGUCAGGCAUUGGAGGAGCCAGGACUUUCAGGUUCAAUUUGUAACUUAUGAAUUUUUUAUUACACUAACAAUUAUAUUUGAUUUUAACUUAUAUGAUUUAAAUACUUUUUAGGCUACAUCUCAUCAGAAUCGAAAGAAUCGGGCU